AAAGUCUGGCUGUGCAGUGCUGCCUCUCCCAGAGGUGAAAAGACCAAUUUCAUGCUGCCUGCUGCUGCUUCAAUCUCCAGUCCUUGGCAUAAAGCACAGGCUCAUGUGACAGUCACUGGAGGACACAAAGGUAAAAAUGGAGUUUCAAGAGACUGAUUCUCACUGGCACAAUUCCAUGGAAGUCAGAUUUCUAAGCUGCAAGUGUCGUUGUUGUUUCUGGUUGUGCCUAUGGUGUCUGUGGUUGUACAGACUUAAUAGAAAAUGCUUCAUUCCUCACUUCCCAGUAUUCCAUCCACACGAAAGCACUGAAGACAGAAAUCUUCUUAUGAUCCCCCAGGCUGGUGAGUACAUGUGGGGAAUUACCCACAUCAAGUAAGUGAUGGCACUCAUGUGAACGGUGCACAUGGAAUAUUCUUUGAAAAUACUUUGUGAUCAAAGCAGAGAGAGGAAAUAAAAAUGAAUGUGUUUGCUGAAUACUGAAUAAAUUAAAUGUGAGGGUACUGCAAAUAAAAGGCAGAAUGUUC